UGAGGAAUAUUGGUCAAUGGGCGAGAGCCUGAACCAGCCAAGUAGCGUGAAGGAUGACUGCCCUAUGGGUUGUAAACUUCUUUUAUAAAGGAAUAAAGUCGGGUAUGGAUACCCGUUUGCAUGUACUUUAUGAAUAAGGAUCGGCUAACUCCGUGCCAGCAGCCGCGGUAAUACGGAGGAUCCGAGCGUUAUCCGGAUUUAUUGGGUUUAAAGGGAGCGUAGAUGGAUGUUUAAGUCAGUUGUGAAAGUUUGCGGCUCAACCGUAAAAUUGCAGUUGAUACUGGAUAUCUUGAGUGCAGUUGAGGCAGGCGGAAUUCGUGGUGUAGCGGUGAAAUGCUUAGAUAUCACGAAGAACUCCGAUUGCGAAGGCAGCCUGCUAAGCUGCAACUGACAUUGAGGCUCGAAAGUGUGGGUAUCAAACAGGAUUAGAUACCCUGGUAGUCCACACGGUAAACGAUGAAUACUCGCUGUUUGCGAUAUACUGCAAGCGGCCAAGCGAAAGCGUUAAGUAUUCCACCUGGGGAGUACGCCGGCAACGGUGAAACUCAAAGGAAUUGACGGGGGCCCGCACAAGCGGAGGAACAUGUGGUUUAAUUCGAUGAUACGCGAGGAACCUUACCCGGGCUUAAAUUGCAACCGAAUAUGGCGGAAACGCUAUAGCUAGCAAUAGCGGUUGUGAAGGUGCUGCAUGGUUGUCGUCAGCUCGUGCCGUGAGGUGUCGGCUUAAGUGCCAUAACGAGCGCAACCCUUGCCGAUAGUUACUAACAGGUUAUGCUGAGGACUCUGUCGGGACUGCCAUCGUAAGAUGUGAGGAAGGUGGGGAUGACGUCAAAUCAGCACGGCCCUUACGUCCGGGGCUACACACGUGUUACAAUGGGGGGUACAGAGGGCUGCUACCACGCAAGUGGAUGCCAAUCCCAAAAACCUCUCUCAGUUCGGAUUGAAGUCUGCAACCCGACUUCAUGAAGCUGGAUUCGCUAGUAAUCGCGCAUCAGCCACGGCGCGGUGAAUACGUUCCC
rnacentral:rRNA from 1 species